rnacentral:pre_miRNA from 1 species
ACUGACUUCUAUGUGUGCUGGGGUUUCAAUUCUACUUCCUAGCACCAUUUGAAAUCAGUACU